rnacentral:rRNA from 1 species
CUGCUGGUGCUGCUGCUGCUGCCGGUGCAUGCGGUGCCGUCCGCCCCUGGGACCGCGUGACUGGCAAGCUGUGCGCACUGCGGCGGCUUGUGGGGUUGCCGCGGAUGUGGGCCUCGGGUCAGGCGGGAUCACCCGCUGAAUUUAAGCAUAUCAAUAAGCGGAGGAGAAGAAACUAACCAGGAUUCCCCCAGUAGCGGCGAGUGAAGCGGGAAGAGCCCAAGCCUCUAAUCUCCGUCGCGUGGCGACGGCGAAUUGUAGUCUGGAGACGGGUCAUCUCGUCGGCGCAGCCUCCCGAAGUCGUCGUGGAAAGGCGCGCCCGAGAGGGUGAGAGCCCCGUUGUCGGGAACGCUUUGCCGGCGUGACGAGGCCCCGUCGUAGAGUCGGGUUGUUUGGGAAUGCAGCCCAAAGCGGGUGGUAAACUCCAUCCAAGGCUAAGUACCGGCACGAGACCGAUAGCGAACAAGUACCGUGAGGGAAAGGUGAAAAGAACCCCGGGAGGGGAGUGAAACAGAACCUGAAACCGUACGCAAACAAACAGUGGGAGGGAGCGCUUGCGCUCCUGACCGCGUACCUUUUGCAUAAUGGGUCAGCGAGUUGCGCUUGCCGGCAAGGUUAACCGUAUAGGGAAGCCGCAGGGAAACCGAGUCUUAAUAGGGCGACACAGUCGACAGGCGCAGACCCGAAACCAGGUGAUCUAUCCAUGGACAGGUUGAAAGUUCGGUAACACGGGCUGGAGGACCGAACCCACUGAUGUUGCAAAAUCAGGGGAUGAUCUGUGGAUAGGGGUGAAAGGCCAAUCAAACCUGGAGAUAGCUGGUUCUCUCCGAAAACUAUUGAGGUAGUGCCUCGUGUUUAUCACUGCCGGGGGUAGAGCACUGUUAUGGCUAGGGGGUCACGCCGACUUACCAAACCAUGGCAAACUCCGAAUACCGGUAAGCGCAAUCACGGGAGACAGACAGCGGGUGCGAACGUCCGUUGUCAAGAGGGAAACAACCCAGACCGCCGUCUAAGGCCCCCAAGCCGUUGCUAAGUGGGAAACGAAGUGGGGGGGCACACACAGCCAGGAUGUUGGCUUAGAAGCAGCCAUCAUUUAAAGAAAGCGUAAUAGCUCACUGGUCUAGUCCCCCUGCGCGGAAAAUGUAACGGGGCUUAAGCAACGCGCCGAAGACGCGGGUGUCAGAAGGUUGAGUAAAGGGAAUUGCCCGGGGAGCCGGGCAGUUUUUACAAGGGCGGGGUUCUACCCGACUUCGCCCUGUUUGGUGGGAUUUGAGAAAUUCAGUGCCGAAUUCGGUAUAAUUUUCGACAUGAACAUCAACGCCAGCAAGGAGCUGCUUGCCACGCUUGCCUCCACCGUUGCCAUUAUCGCCUUUUUGGUGUCUUUGGCGACGCAAAUGGGCGAAAUGCGCGGCGCAAUAGAAGCCAACGGCAAGGCAAUUGCGGAGUUGCGCGACGAUGUGCGCGAUUUGCGCAACACGGUCGCCGCGAACACCGCGUCGGUCGCAGAAAUGCGCGGCACAUUGUUGUCGCACAUUGGCGGGCAUAACCAUGCGCCCGUUGUCGCCGAAGGCAAAGAGGAAGAGUGAUAUGCGCGCUUUUCCGUCAUGUGAAUUAAAGUUCCCUUUACUCAACCUUUUGACGCGGUAGGAGAGCGUUCCGUAAGCCAGUGAAGGCGGUUUGAAAGGGCCGCUGGAGGUAUCGGAAGUGAGAAUGCUGACAUGAGUAACGUUAAAACGGGUGAAAAACCCGUUCGCCGAAAGUCCCAGGUUUCCUGUGCAAUGUUAAUCAUCGCAGGGUUAGUCGAUUCCUAAGGCGAGGCCGAAAGGCGUAGUCGAUGGAAAACGGGUUAAUAUUCCCGUACCUUCGCAUGAUGCGAUGGGGUGACGGAGAGUGCUGCCUUGUCCGGGUGUUGGAAGUCCCGGUUCAAGCUGGUAGUUCAUUGAUGUUUCCAGGUAAAUCCGGAAACGGAGAAUGAGAAGCGACAACGACCGCUUUUUCGGAAGCGGGAAGCAAGUGACGCACGCUCCCAAGAAAAGCCUCUAAGCUUCAGUCAUGCGAGGAUCGUACCGCAAACCGACACUGGUGGACAGGAAGAAUAUUCCAAGGCGCUUGAGAGAACUCGGGUGAAGGAACUCGGCAAAAUGAUACCGUAACUUCGGGAGAAGGUAUGCCCCGACAAUGUGAAGUCCCUCGCGGACGGAGCAGUAAGGGGUCGAAGAGAAUUGGUGGCUGCGACUGUUUACUAAAAACACAGCACUCUGCAAACACGAAAGUGGAAGUAUAGGGUGUGACGCCUGCCCAAUGCCGGAAGGUUAAUUGACGGGGUUAGCCCUUAUGGGCGAAGCUCCUGAUCGAAGCCCCGGUCAAUGGCGGCCGUAACUAUAACGGUCCUAAGGUAGCGAAAUUCCUUGUCGGGUAAGUUCCGACCUGCACGAAUGGCGUAACGACUGCUCCGGUGUCUCCAGCGUGGGCUCAGCGAAAUUGAAUUCUCCGUGAAGAUGCGGAGUACCCGCGGUUAGACGGAAAGACCCUAUGCACCUUUACUACAGCUUUGCGCUGACGCCAGAAUUUAUCUGUGUAGGAUAGGCGGGAGACUUUGAAGUUGCGGCGCCAGCCGUGAUGGAGUCGUCCUUGAAAUACCGCCCUGAUGGAUUUUGGUGUCUAACCUUGUUCUGUUAUCCAGAAUGGGGACACCGUAUGGUGGGUAGUUUGACUGGGGCGGUCGCCUCCUAAAGAGUAACGGAGGCGCGCAAAGGUGGGCUCAGUUCGGUCGGAAACCGAACGGCGAGUGCAAUGGCAUAAGCCUGCUUAACUGUGAGAGCGACAGCUCGAGCAGAGACGAAAGUCGGUCAUAGUGAUCCGGUGGUUCUGUGUGGAACGGCCAUCGCUAAACGGAUAAAAGGUACGCUAGGGAUAACAGGCUAAUCUCCCCCAAGAGUUCUCAUCGACGGGGAGGUUUGGCACCUCGAUGUCGACUCAUCGCAUCCUGGGGCUGUAGCAGGUCCCAAGGGUAUGGCUGUUCGCCAUUUAAAGCGGUACGCGAGUUGGGUUCAGAACGUCGUGAGACAGUUUGGUCCCUAUCUGCCGUGGGUGUUGGAAACUUGAAAGGGGCUGUCCCUAGUACGAGAGGACCGGGAUGGACGUACCUCUGGUGUUCCGAUUGUGGCGCCAGCCGCACUGUCGGGUAGCUAAGUAUGGGAACGAUAACCGCUGAAAGCAUCUAAGCGGGAAGCGUGCCUUGAGACUGGGUUUCCUUUGAGGGUUGUUGCAGACUACGACUUUGAUAGGCUUGGGGUGGAAGCGCAGUGAUGUGUGAAGCUGACGAGUACUAAUUGCCCGAAG